GUGAGUUUGGGAAUGGCCAGUCAGAAGCUCAGGACUACAGAAGCUACCCUCAGAGAAACCUGAAAGGGAGCUGGCUCUGCAGCUUGGUCUGCGUGUUUAUUUGCCAUCCGUGAUUCACUGUGGCCUGGUGAAGACUCAGCAACGGGCACUUUCACUGGCUGUCCUCUGCUCUCUGUGGCAUGCGAUGGGGAAACCUUUUCCCAGGGGCGUUUUAUCUUAGGAGAACAACUUCAAAAACACAUGUAAAAGGGAAAAAUGUUGUUUAGCAUCUUGCUGUGGUAAAAAUGAUAACUUAUAUAGAGAAUAUCUAUUUUGGGACUGAUGUAGCAAAAAAUCGUUUUCUAAGCCCCUCCCAACAUGUAAAAAGAAGGGAGAAAAGGCCACAGUGGGAGCAGCCUCCUGAGCCCCCUCUGUAAUUAACUCUGACAGCUACUGAUUCUCAUGCUAAAAUGAGGGGUGGAUGGGUGAGUGCUGGGGUGUGAGCUGGAGCCUGAGGGGAGGCUCUGGACCUGCCUUCUGCAGCAUCCUGUGGCUCCAUACUUUGCAUUGGAUAAGCCUUUCAUUGGCUAUCUGCCUAAGGGUCAAAAUCUCGCCUUGGGUCUCUGCUACGUGAUACGCAUUUGGGUGUCUGGACAGAAGUGGAUGCCAGACUUGUCCAUGCAGAAAACUGCCUCCAAUUAAUAUCUGCCUGUUUGACGGUACAGUUCGGUCUGUUCCACGCAGGAGCCCGGCAUGUGCCAUCAGUUGCAUCUGUUACACAGUAAAGGAGUCCUAGAGAAGUGCUGCCAAGGGGAACUCAUAAAAAAGCCGCUGCUGGAGACUCAGAUGUGCCCUGCUGAGCGAGGCAGUCUCCUCCUACUUACCGUGCUGCAGUGAGCCGCAGUCACCCGCGGGGGAGUUGAAGAAUAAGUUGAAUAUGGUUGAACACGGUGGCAUCAUACUGCUCAGCCAUCUCUGGGGUUAACUGCAGAUGAGAUAAUUCCUGUAUAACUCCUGGAUCCUCUAGGGCAUUCUGCCACUGUAUCCACACUUCAUGGUACAAGGGCGAAUGGACAGAUCUCCAGCUUCCAAGUGAAACGUGAAGGCGACUCGACAAGGAUUUCUGUUAGGACAAUAGUUUUGCUUCAUGAAGACCAGGAAGGCUUGAACUCAGGACAAUGGGUAUCUUGAAUUUACUCAGUUCCCAUCUCUUAAGUUAUUAAACAUUAUUUCCCACCUGUCUUGUGUAUUUUUGCUUGAUCCCUAUAAUAUGGGGGCAGGCAUAAUUUUGUAUAACCCCUGUAAGACGUGUGCCAGGUACAAUUGGCCCUAUUUCCUAUGUGGGGAAACUGAGACUCAGAGCAGAGAAGCGACUCUCCUAAGUCACACGUUGUAUUGCUGGCAGAGUCUCGGGCAGGAGUCGUGCCUCCUGAUUUCCAGGUACAUGCUGCUUUUGCUAGAACCAAUCUAUUAAAGAACCAAGACUCUUUUAUUUGGAAUUAAUGAGGGAUUCCAAAAAUAGUGUUAGCAGUGCUUAACAAAUUUGAAAGAGCAAAGGAACUGAAGCCAGAGAAGACUGAGAUAGGGGAGCUGUUUCAUUGUAUCAAUUUCUAUUCACUUUGUUAAUAAUUGAUGCCACAUUUACUCAUUGUUAUAUAUUAAAAAUACUUGAUUUGCUACAAGGUAAAAAUGACCCAUUGACUUUGUCUCUCAACCUACGCUAACCCUAAAUGAGAAUCUCAUUGUGACCACGAUUUUGCAAAAUUGAUUAAAUGGAAAUAAAUGCAUUCAAGUGUCAAAGGCUGCAUUGGGAAUGGUUGCUAAUGAGCUUGACCUUUCAGAGCUUCCUGGCUGGGUGCACAGUAGGUGUUCAAUGAGUACUGAUGGAUGUCUUGACUGACUGAGAUUUCGGUUAGCCUUCCAUCCCCGGGAGCAUGGUGCCUCUAAUGUGUUAGAUGGCAUCAUGUUCCAAAAAUGAAUCGAUCUAUAAAUUUGAAGACUAAUUUGGAAACAUUUUAACCUUACUAAACAGAAUAGUAUGAUAAAACCUAGGUACCCUACGCCAGCUUCAAAUCAAUAUUCUGCUGUUUUUGUUUACUUCCCUUAACACACAUCACUGCCUCCCCACCCCCAACACACACACACUUUUUUGUUUUUGAGACAGAGUCUCGCUCUGUCACCGAGGCUGGGGUGUAGUGGCGCCAUCUCGGCUCACUGCAAGCUCCGCCUCCUGGGUUCAUGCCAUUCUCCUGUCUCGGCCUCCCAGUCUCCAGAGUAGCUGGGACUUCAGGUGUCCACUUUUUUUUUUUUUUUUUGGCUGAAGUACCAUAAAGGAAAUUUCAAACAUUGUGUCAUUCACCUGUGAAUAAAUCUGUAUGUACCUCCAAUAGAUAGACUAAAAAAACCACAACCUUAUCACCACAACACAAUUAGCCAUUGUUUCUUAAUAUCAUAGGAGGCCUCUUCCAUGCUGAAUGCUCCAU
rnacentral:lncRNA from 10 species